rnacentral:rRNA from 1 species
UACGAACCGUCCAAACGUUGUUCGGAAUCACUGGGCUUAAAGGGCGCGUAGGCGGACUGCCAAGUCCGGGGUGAAAUCUUUCGGCUUAACCGGAAAAGGGCCUUGGAAACUGGCGGUCUCGAGGGAGGUAGGGGCCUGUGGAACUUCGGGUGGAGCGGUGAAAUGCGUUGAUAUCCGAAGGAACGCCGGUGGCGAAAGCGACGGGCUGGAUCUCUUCUGACGCUGAGGCGCGAAAGCUAGGGUAGCAAACGGG